UGAGCAUUAUCUCAUUUAAUUUUCAUAAUUAUUCCAUUUUAUUUUUCCAGUUUUACAAGGAAGCUGAGUGAGGCCAAGCAACUUGUUCAAGAUUAUAGGGCUAUAGCUGGGCUCACAUCUGUAAUCCCAGCAUUCAGGAGGCUGAGGCAGGAGGAUUGCCAUAAAUUCAAGGCCAGCCUGGACUACAUAGUGAGUUCAAGGGCCGCUACUCUGGGGUCGUCUUCCCUGGACAGAGGAAGAGGCUGAGCCGCGCAGUGACAUCAGCCCCAUCAAUUCCCCUCCCAACAGUUCUCGGAAGCGACUUUGAAGGUGAG
rnacentral:lncRNA from 1 species